AUACGUAGGGAGCGAGCGUUGUCCGGAAUUACUGGGUGUAAAGGGAGCGUAGGCGGGAUGGCAAGUCAGAUGUGAAAACUAUGGGCUCAACCCAUAGACUGCAUUUGAAACUGUUGUUCUUGAGUGAAGUAGAGGUAAGCGGAAUUCCUGGUGUAGCGGUGAAAUGCGUAGAUAUCAGGAGGAACAUCGGUGGCGAAGGCGGCUUACUGGGCUUUUACUGACGCUGAGGCUCGAAAGCGUGGGGAGCAAACAGGAUUAGAUACCCUGGUAGUCCACGCUGUAAACGAUGAUUACUAGGUGUGGGGGGACUGACCCCUUCCGUGCCGCAGUUAACACAAUAAGUAAUCCACCUGGGGAGUACGGCCGCAAGGUUGGAACUCAAAGGAAUUGACGGGG
rnacentral:rRNA from 1 species